AAACCAAAAGAGACACAGUGGAAGCUAUUUAUAUACUAUCAAGUCUCAAGAUAAUGGAAAAUAUUUUAUCACAGUUAGAUCUGCAGAAGUUAGAUGGUUCCUGAACUAAUGUUUUGGCAGAAGAUAAAGACAGACUUCGUGCAUGUGGUUGUACACACCACUACCGGCAACUCCUGUGUCCCACAUCUCACAAUUUUGCUAUAAGAAGAAAAGAAAGAAAGAAAAAAAAAAAAAACCACUUGACUAAAAUUGCCCACCUCCUCGCCCCCAGCCUGACACCAGUUGGAAAGUCCCAGGGAAAGCCUACGUGGACUCAGGUGGGGUGAGGGGCCCCAGGUGGGGGCGCAUCCUCUGUCAUCCAGUCCCCGUUGGAAGCAGAAGGCUGCAGUAAGAGAAACAGUCUCCCCCAAGAAGAGAGGGGGGUCCCCAGAAAUGAGGAGGGCUCGGAAGCAGUCAGAGCGAUACAUGCUCACACCGAAGCAAAGGGGGUCAUUGUUCUUCUUGCUUCACUCCCCAGCAAGGAGGACUCAAGGCUAAGGGGGAAGCUCAUGGUCAAACCCACGUGUGGCCGACGUGGGGAACACAGUCCAGAACAGGUUGAAAGGCAUCUCUGCGUUGGAAGUGCUUGGCAAUAAAAGUAAACUAAGUUA